rnacentral:rRNA from 1 species
AGCGAGCGCUGGCGGCAGGCCUAACACAUGCAAGUCGAACGGACCCUUCGGGGUUAGUGGCGGACGGGUGAGUAACACGUGGGAACGUGCCUUUAGGUUCGGAAUAGCUCCUGGAAACGGGUGGUAAUGCCGAAUGUGCCCUUCGGGGGAAAGAUUUAUCGCCUUUAGAGCGGCCCGCGUCUGAUUAGCUAGUUGGUGAGGUAAUGGCUCACCAAGGCGACGAUCAGUAGCUGGUCUGAGAGGAUGACCAGCCACAUUGGGACUGAGACACGGCCCAAACUCCCACGGGAGGCAGCAGUGGGGAAUCUUGCGCAAUGGGCGAAAGCCUGACGCAGCCAUGCCGCGUGGAUGAUGAAGGUCUUAGGAUUGUAAAAUCCUUUCACCGGUGAAGAUAAUGACUGUAGCCGGAGAAGAAGCCCCGGCUAACUUCGUGCCAGCCGCCGCGGUAAAAC